GUGGCUUUGACAGGUCGUUCAUUUCUUAAAAUAGCUUCCUAUUGGCAGCUGUAGGCAGCAACAAACACAUUCGUCAUGGGUGGUUCUCAGUACUUCUACUAACAAGAAGUCAAAGCACUUCCUUAUACUCUCUCUUAGCUGAGAUGGAGUCGCCAAGUUUGGUUUUUCUAAGCUGUUUCCUGAUACAAUGCUUCGGUAGGAGAUUUUUCUUAUAUUAAUGAUCAAUUUAUUCUAAAUGCGGAUAUAAACGUUCCUUGCUAAAUGACAGUAAGGAAUAAUAGUAGUUUUAAAUUGUCAGGUUAAAGAUGUGCUUUCAGUAUAGGGUUGCAGUAAAAAUGUAACCAUGAAUCAAUGACUGUGUUCUUUUUCCUUGAAGGGUCCACUCACUUUCAUUACCUAAAGAAAGAGGAGGAGGUAACACUGUCUUGUGAAACAUGUCAAUGGGAGGCUGAUGUGAAUUCAGACAACAUAGUGGACUGUGGUGUCAUAGACAGUAUUUAUAAAACAAACUCAAAAUGCCCGGCUCAAGCACAGGAGCUAUGCCAAGAGAUAAAGAGAAACAAAUCCACCAGUUGUGAAAUCCGUGUAAUGAGGGGAUUCUUUGCCUGUGUCAAUGCUACAUCUGACUCCUGCUUCAUGUAUCCAUUCAAACCCUCUUCUCAUCAUGUGGAGUCCUUCAUUGUUGCUCAGGCAGAACCAGACAUUGUGUCUGGACCUGUAAUGGACAAUUCAGUGCUUGUGUCUGGAGGAGAAUCAAUUAAUCUGACGUGCGGUUUUAAGACAAACAGGAGUUAUAACAAUACUCCUUUCGUGGUGUACUGGAUCAAGACUGGUGCUCAGAGCAGCACAUGUCUGUAUUCCUUUCAUUACGCUACAUUUGAUGAUAGUGGUGUUGAUGACCACUGUGCCAUUGACAGAGAUCUUCUGUUAAGGAGAUCAAACACAUCAAGACACUUCCUUGUUGACAACAACCAUUAUUUACACAUGGGACUUGGUUUCCAAAGGCAUUCAUGCUUAUCUUCAUAUGCUUGACUAAAUCAUUAUUGGUACAUUCUUGACACUAAACUAAACUAAAGCAUUUAACAUGAUAAUGUUUGUGUGUGUUGAAGACAAAUCAAAUACCACCGGAAAUACCACUGCUGGUAAAUUCAGUUUGACAUUUCAAAUGAAAUUAAUAAUAUUGAGCCCAAGUAAAUGCAAUGCAAUCUAAUGCAAGACACAAUUUGUCUCUAGAAAAUAAUCUUUUUUUUUUUAGGAACCCCCACAUAUGGUAGUACUGGUAAGCACAGCUGGAGGUGGGAAAGCAUGCAGUUUCCUCUGUUAAAAUACAAGGUAAAGCUGAAUCAAAAUCAUAUUUUCUGGUACCUACAGAUUCUCAUAACACCAUGAGAGUUGGUGUAUUAGUUGGUGUAUUAGUACCAGUUCUCCUCCUCCUCCCUGUCAUCAUCAUCAUCAUCAUCAUUAUACUGCUGAAAAGGAAAUCAGCUGAGACCAAAGGUGAAACAUGUAGUAGUUUUUUUAUGUAGUAGUAUUUUUAAUUAGAUAUUUUUUCAUAAAUAUACAAUUCAGCUGUUAUUAUGUUUUGUCUUUACAGUGUCUCAAACUGAAAUAACUCAAAGGUAACAUUUUAGAUUUUUGUGGUUGUUGUUGUUUAUUCAUUUUAAUUGUGGUGGGUCUCUGUAAAUGAAUGACAAAAGGGCUGUUAAUCCAACAGUAACUGUAUUGACAACUGUAAGUAUAAAGAUAUGAGCGUCCACACUGAUCAACCAUAGGGAAAACAUCUCAGAAAUAGAAUUUCACGUUUUAAUUUCGAUGCCUUUCAAAUUUGACAGAUUCUGAUUGGCUGUUAGUUUUUUAUCAUUCGCACAUUCGCUCUGAAAGUGAUGCCCAGCAAUAUUGUUCUUCAUUCCGUUAUCGUUAUAAUGUGUGCUGUACAAGUUGCCAUUGUAAUAAGCUCGAGUGAUAUGUGUUGCUUUUCUCUCAACUCUUCCCCAUGCUAUCCCUCCUCACUGCUGUCUCCUCUAGAUAUCAG
rnacentral:lncRNA from 1 species